AUGGACCACCAAGCCAUUAUCGCACGAAGUAAACUGGAGUGUAUGUUAUUUGAUGAAAAUGUGGAACCAAUGCCCCUACCAUUAUCACUUCUGGAGGAUAUCACUAGCAGUUUCUCUGAAGACCAAGCCAUCGGCUAUGGUGGCUUUGCAGUUGUUUAUAAGGGGAUGCUUGACAAUGGCACAGUUGCUGUGAAGAAGCUUUUCGAAACGUUUUGUAUUGACGAGAAGCAAUUCAGCGAAGAGAUCCAUUGUUUAAUGAAGGCAAAGCACAAAAAUAUAGUACGGUUUCUAGGAUAUUGCUCUAACGCACAAGGGGAAAUGGUAGACUACAAGGGAAAGCUCGUCUUGGCAGAUGUACGAGAAAGGUUGCUCUGUUUUGAAUAUCUACGCAAUGGAAGUCUUGAUAAGAAAAUCACUGAUGCAUCUUGUGGACUUGAAUGGAGACAACGCUAUCAAAUUAUCAUUGGAAUUUGUAACGGUUUGUAUUAUCUUCACCAAAAGCACAUAGUUCACUUGGAUCUUAAACCCGAAAAUAUAUUAUUAGAUGACCAUAUGAUGCCAAAAAUUACCGAUUUUGGUCUUUCGAGGUGCUUCGAUGAAAAGCAAACCCGAACUGUAGCUUCAAAGUUGAUUGGAACUAUGGGAUAUUUGGCACCAGAAUUCUUUGGGGGUAGACAGAUCACAUUCAAGUCGGACAUAUAUAGUCUUGGUAUUAUAAUCAUAGACAUACUAACAGGAGAGAAGGGGUAUGUUGAUGUUGAAAACCAGGUUCUGGAGAGAUGGAGAUAUAGGUUGGAGAAAUCACACGGAGAUACACAACUGGUACAAGUACAAGUAUGCACUGAGAUAGCGAUAGAGUGCUGUGACUUUAACCCAGCGAAAAGACCAGAUAUGCAGGAUAUAAUUAAUAGGCUUGGUGCAACACAAAAUGUGGUUGAAUUUGCUGCUGAAACUGGAUGUAGUAGUUCAUCAGUACCAAAGGUUGCUGGUUCGUGGAAAGGGGGCGUGCCUGACCAUUGGAUACAAUUGGCACAGAUUCAGGAAAGGGAGAGCAAGAAGCUGCACAUCUCGCUGGCGAAGAUCAAGGCUGCCACGGACAACUUCCACGAGCGCAACCUUAUUGGCGUCGGCGGGUUCGGGAAUGUGUACAAGGGUGCGCUCGGCGAUGGCACGCCUGUGGCGGUGAAGCGUGCCAUGCUCACCUCGGAGCAAGGGCUGCCGGAGUUCCAGGCGGAGAUCGUGCUGCUGUCCAGCAUCCGGCACCGGCAUGUGGUGUCGCUAAUCGGGUACUGCAACGAGCAGGCGGAGAUGAUACUUGUGUACGAGUACAUGCAGAGAGGCUCGCUGCGACAACACCUGUACGGCUCCGGCGAGCCGGCACUGCCGGCACUGUCGUGGAAGCAGCGGCUGGAGAUCUGCAUCGGGGUGGCGAUGGGCGUGCACUACCUGCACGCAGGCUGCUCGGAGAACAUCAUCCACCGCGACAUCAAGUCGACCAACAUCCUCCUGGGCGACAGCAACCGCGGCAUGAUAGCCAAGGUAGCCGACUUCGGGCUGUCGCUCACCGGGCCGUCGUUCGGGCACACGCACGUGAGCACGAUUGUGAAGGGGAGCUUCGGGUACCUGGACCCGGAGUACUUCCGGCGGCAGCAGCUUUCGGACCGGUCGGACGUGUACUCGUUCGGCGUGGUGCUGUUCGAGGUGCUAUGCGCGCGGCCGGCGCUGAACGUGAGCCUGCCGAGGGAGCAGGUCAGCCUCGCCGAUCACGCGCUGCGCUGCCAGAGGAAUGGGACCCUGGACGACAUCAUCGACCCGCUGCUGGCGGGCAAGAUCGCGCCGGACUGCCUGAAGAAAUUCUCGGAGACGGCGUGGAAAUGCUUGUCGGACUACGGCGUGGACCGGCCGUCCAUGGGCGACGUGCUGUGGAACCUGGAGUACGCGCUGCAGAUGCAGGAGACCUUCGAAAAAGGUAUCAGCGAGGGCUUGGAUAUCCCCGCGCUGCAGAUGCUGCAGAUGCAGUAG
rnacentral:rRNA from 1 species